UCUGUCCCCGUCCAUCACCACUCCUGCCAUCCACCCAAGCUAAGGCCACGUCAUGAGAGCUGAGCAGGACCUCAGGCCAGCCCAGGGCAAACUCCUCUGUCACUGACUGACUGCCUGGAACUCCAUUCCUGCAGAGCAAGAUAGACAUGAACAACUAAUUUGGAGCUUGAAAAAUGGUAGAGACUUACACAAUGAUGAGGAGCGGGUGGAGGUUGGCUUCAAACCCCUGAGGCAAGGACAAUUUCAGGUGGAGGUCUGAUGAAAACAAACAUGGUAUACCAUGGUUAUCUGCUGAGAGUGUCUUGAACAGGGUCUCGGAGAGUCUCUUUCCCUGUAGUGCUUCAGAGAGAGGUGCAUUAUCCUCCAUAACAAUGUAACCUAUCGAAAGAAAGAACUAUUGUUUUCAAAUAUGCCUAUACAAUCGAGAAUGCAGCUGCAAAUUCUCUGCAAACAGACAAUUCCACCCCAAAAAUGAAAUUUGGACACAUAAUAAUUUCAAUAUUGAUAUUCACGUGGAUUAUUUCCCCUUAACUUUAUUUGAAGUCUGAAAUGUGAAGAAUCUUAGAAGGUGUGGAGAAUCUUUUUGAGUUUUUGAGCCAUAGGAGGUUUUUAAAAUGUGUGUAUACUGCCCUCUACAGGCUUCUGUGCAGUGCUUUAUAAUGGAGCUGGGAGAGCAGGUUUGGCUUAAUGAAUUGAAGUAAAAAUGUACAAUAUGGUGAAAAAACUCACUGGAAGGGUCCUUUGUACUGUGAACGGUAACUUUAGGGAUCCCAGGGCCUAAGUGUAUAUGGUUAAAUAAAGACAUUUGUUUUCAAAU